AUUGAACGCUGGCGGCAGGCUUAACACAUGCAAGUCGAACGAGUGGCGCACGGGAGAGUAAUGUCUGGAAAACUGCCUGAUGGAGGGGGAUAACUACUGGAAACGGUAGCAAAUACCGCAUACCAUCGGGUGUGCCCAUAUGGGAUUAGCUAGUAGGUGGGGUAAAGGCUCCCCUAGGCGACGAUCCCUAGCUGGUCUGAGAGGAUGACCGGCCAAACGGGAACUGAGACACGGUCCAGACUCCUACGGGAGGCAGCAGUGGGGAAGAUUGCACAAUGGUCGCAAGCCUGAUGCAGCCAUGCCGCGUGGAUGAAGAAGGCCUGCGGGUUGUAAAGUACUUUCAGCGGGGAGGCGUUACCCGCAGAAGAAGCACCGGCUAACUCCGUGCCAGCAGCCGCGGUAAUAC
rnacentral:rRNA from 1 species